GGUCAGGAUGAUGUAAUAGAGACCUCUUACAGAAGAACCAACCAUUCAGUACUUGUAGAUUGAGCUUAUUCUUUCGAGAGGCACACACACAUGUACAGCUUUCCACCUUGCUUCUGGACACACGGCCUCUCAUGGAAGCUGGAGUUGACAGAUUCAGCCAGACUACUAGAUGGCAUACUCCAGUGAUCACCUUGUUGCCACAGCCCCGGUGUUAGGACUGCAAUGCACGCCACCACACCUGCCACUUGACAGGCUCCCGGGUGCCACUCCAGCCCUUGCGUUUGCAGGGCAGCCAUCUGACUGACUCAACUUCUUUUCAACCCCUGAACUUGAAUGUGACUUCUUGAAGGUGACUUCACAUUGUUACUGUAAACCUUAAUCAAUUCUGAAUCAUCUGGAAGGAAUGUUAUUAGUUCCAUGAGCUAAUAGAUUUGUCUUUAAGUCAUAUUAAAUAUGGAGGUAUAGAAAUGA